AACGCGAAGAACCUUACCUACUCUUGACAUCCUGCGAAUCUGGUUGAGAGACCGGAGUGCCGAAAGGAACGCAGAGACAGGUGCUGCAUGGCUGUCGUCAGCUCGUGUUGUGAGAUGUUGGGUUAAGUCCCGUAACGAGCGCAACCCCUGUCCUUAGUUGCCAGCGAGUAAAGUCGGGGACUCUAAGGAGACCGCCGGUGACAAACCGGAGGAAGGUGGGGAUGACGUCAAGUCAUCAUGGCCUUUAUGGCCAGGGCUACACACGUGCUACAAUGGCAGGUACAGAGGGAAGCCAACGCGCGAGCGGGAGCCAAUCCCAGAAAGCCUGUCGUAGUCCGGAUCGGAGUCUGCAACUCGACUCCGUGAAGUCGGAAUCGCUAGUAAUCGCAGAUCAGCAUUGCUGCGGUGAAUACGUUCCCGGGCCUUGUACACACCGGUACUA
rnacentral:rRNA from 1 species